CUGAGUUAUCAGUGUUGUAAUUUUAAAAAGUGGCAUGAGAGAAAGAAGGCCAUGUGAGAGAGCUCAUGUGGAGGGGGUUUAUUAGGAGAAAGGGAGGAGUGGAAGGGGGACCAGCCUUUGGAGACGGGAGCAGCAGAAGAGAGACAGGCAGAAAAACAGAGAGAGGGAGAGAGAGAGAGACAGAGGGAGGGAGGGAGAGAGGGAGGGAGGAGGAGGAGGAGGAAGACGAGGAGGAAGAAGACGAGGAGGAAGAAGACGAGGAGGAGGCAGGCAGGAGCCUUUUAAAGGGGAACAUAGUGAAUGUAACACUUCUUCCCUCCCACACUCAGGAGAUAGGAGAUUGGCAGUGGACACAAAGUGCCCAGAGGGACAAGGAACCACGGGACUGCCAUCCUGGACACACUCACUAUUCUCUCUCUCUCUCUCUCUCUCUCUCUCUCUGAGACAGGGUUUCUCUGUGUAGCUUUGGAGCCUAUCCUGGCACUUGCUCUGUAGACCAGGCUGGCCUUGAACUCACAGAGAUCCGCCUGCCUCUGCCUCCCGAGUGCUGGGAGUAAUGAUGUUCACCACCCCCACCUGCCAUCCUGGACACUAAUGAGAACUCACUGCUGCAGGUCUGAAGGACAGAAAGGAGGGGCAGGGAAGAGGUAACUCAGGAGACAAGUCCGAGUCCCAUAUAGGCUUGAAAAUGCUGUCCCCACCGACACCAGGCUGAAGCCCGUGGGAGAUGGGAGUACAGGAUUCCGCUCUCCUUUACAUUACUUAAAAUGGGAGAGAUUUAAAAACAAAACAAAACUAAAAACCAAAGGAGAGUGUGUGUGGGAGGGGCCGUUGCUAGAGGAGGCUAAGCUUUACCUGGUGGUGUUGGGGGUGGUGCUGGGGAAGGUGUCUGGGGACAGAGUUCACUCCUAAGGGAGCCUGGGAGCUAGUGAGAUGGCACAGCAGGUAAAGGUACUUGCCACCAAGACUGGUUUGAGUCUAGUCCCUGGAUCCAUAAAGCGGAACAAAAGAACUAAUUCCUGCAAAAUGUCCUCUGCUCUCCACUGAAAUGCCAUGGUGUGCCCAUCCUCCAUACACAAUAAGCAAAACGUAGUAAAAACUUUUUUUUUUUUUUUGCCUCUUUUGAGAGGAGGUUGAACACUGUAGCCUUGACUGGCCUAGUCCUUGCCAAUUAGAGCAGGCUGGCCUGAAACUCAGAGAUUCACCUGCCUCAGCCUUCCAAGUGUUUGUACUUAAGGCAUGCAUCAAAACAUUUUUUUUUUUUUAAUUUUGUUUUUCAAGACAGGGUUCCUCUGAGUAGCCCUGGAACUCACUCUGUAGUUCAGGCUGGCCUUAAACUCACAGAGAUCUGCCUGCCUGUGCCUCCUGAGUGCUGGGAUUAAAGGAGUGUGCCACUGCCUGGCCAAAAAAAAUUUUUUUGUAGAUUAAGUGUGGGUUCUUCAAGAGAUAGUAGCUUUACAGGGUUUUUGUGGUAGGUUUUACACUAAGUCUGGGAGGCGAUUUUUCACUGGAGUGACUUGCCAGGGAAUACUGAUAUUUUGGCCAGUCAAAAUAUGAAGGGCUGGAGAGAUGACUCAGUGGUGAAGAUCACUGGCUGCUUUUCUAGAGGACCUGUGUUUGACUCUCAUACCCACAUAACUGCUCACAGCCAUCUGUAAUUCCAGUUUCAGGGGAUCUGAUGCCCUCUUCUGGCACACCAGUCACAUACAUAAUACAUAGGUAUACAUGCAAGCUAAACAGCCAUAGACAUAAUAAACUAUUUUUUAAAAAAUAUGGACAGGUGUAGGGAGACAUUGUAGCCCCGCCUCCUAGUAGCCCCUACAGGUGUGACUGGCUACCCAUGUGAAGGCGUGGUCAGGGGAGGUCAAAGAUGACGCGGGGACAAUUCUUAAGGGACCGAGCACAAGUGGAUCGUGGAUCGCCCCUCUCUCUGGCCUCCCUAGCUUUCGGCCUCUGGGCACGCUCUGGCUUGUAUUUGGGCUGGUGUUUAUCUGAAUAAAGAAAUCUUAGCCUUACGGACUACGGAUCAUCUUUGAGCGCACGCUGCAGGCAAUACUCAAUACUCAACAGACAGGUUAGAAGUGUCUGAAGCGAAUUUUUUUUAUUGCAAUACAAACUUAGAUUUUUAUGUGUAAAAUUACUUAUCUAUUUUGUUUAUGAUCUAUCAAUCAUCUGCAGUGUUGUAAAAAAAAAAAGAGUAUUAAUAUGGUGGCCGAUGCUAUACCACUGAACUACCUCCCUAGUCCUUAUCUAUUUGCAGACAGACAAGAUGUCACUGUGUAGCCCAGGCUAGCUUUAAAUUUUUAAUCUUCCUGCCUCAGCCUCCGAAGUCUGAGUUGACAGGUGUGCACCACCAUUUCUGGCUGCAAAACCAGAUUACCAAGUAUUGAUUCUACAUCUAGAUACUGUAUGAUUUAUAGAUUAAAAAUUCCUGGAAUGAGGGCUGGAGAGAGGCUCAGUGGUUAAAGAGCACUGUCUGCUCUUCCAGAGCAGCUUCAGUUCCCAGCCCCUACAUGGCAGCUCACAACAGUCUAUAACUCCAGUUUCAGGGGAUCACACAGAUAUACAAGCAGGCAAGGCACCAAUGAAGAUAACAAAAAUAAAUACAUCAUUUUAAAAGUUCCAGAGCUGCCGGGCGUUGGUGGCGCAUGCCUUUAAUCCCAGCACUCGGGAGGCAGAAGCAGGCGGAUCUCUGUGAGUUUGAGGCCAGCCUGGUCUCCAGAGCGAGUGCCAGGAUAGGCUCCAAAGCUACACAGAGAAACCCUGUCUGGAAAAACCAAAAAAAAAAAAAAAAGUUCCAGAGCUAUUUUGGUUUUAUAUUCCUCCUUGCAAUCUUUUUUUUCAAGAC
rnacentral:lncRNA from 1 species